rnacentral:lncRNA from 1 species
AAGGAUUUGCUGGAUGACAGCUAACAAACAGUCAGAUUGGAUGAUUCACAAAGACCGUUUCCAGUGUUUAAAAAAAAUAUGCUGGGGACUUUCAUAGAAAUUUCUACUUUUCUGAAAGCAUUUUAUUUCUUCAUCUUUCUCUUCCUGCUCAUAUCCACAUUCUUGUUUUCUUCCUGCUGACUGCACAUAAACAGGAUGUGUGGAAAGCAAGUCUAAAGAGGUAACUAAGUGAAAGGUUCACCGUUGAUGUAAAUCAAGAGUAGAUCAGUGAAGUGGAAACCAGCAGAACUGCUUUACUGUUAGUAUUCAGAGACACUAGCAAAAGAAGCUAAUGUUGGUUCAUUGUGAGCUAAUAAAAGCAAUAACCACUGGAAGAUAGAGCUGAACUUUCAUUUACUUACUUUACUUUUACUAUGGUAAUAUUACUUAAUAACUUUCCUUUAAUGAACUCAUUAAGAUCAUAAGCGAGUGCUUUUAAUAUUAAGUAUGCACCUCCCCCCCACCCAAAUUAUACUGGUUGAAUUUUCAUGUUAAAAUAAAGCAAAAAUAAAUAUUAAUAUAAAAUAUUUAAUCAAAUAUUUUAAAAAUUUCAGUAGUAAAGUAAACCAACUCCAGCAGAGAAAGGGUUAUCACACACACACACACACACACACACACACACACACACACACACACACCCUAUCUGAUGAGUUCUCUUUGCCAAUAAAACAAACCAACAAACAAAACUGAUCAAGAAACAAGACUAUAGCUGGGCAUGGUGGCUCAUGCUUGUAAUCCCAGCCCUUCAGGAGGCUGAGGUGGGCGGAUCACCUGAGCCUGAACCCAGGAGGCCAAGGCUGCUGUGAGCUGAGAUGGUGCCAUUGCACCCCAGCCUGGGCGACAGAGCGAGAACAAAACAAAACAAAAGAAACAAGGCUAUAGACAAGUCUGAGCUAUUUUAGAAAAUGGCACAUGGUUGUUAAUAUCCAGUGAGUUCUACUUAGAUUUUUCUUCUGUUUUUUCUUGUUCAACACCCAAAUCUGUUAGUCAAGAGUAGUAAAGCCACUAAGUGUAUUUUGUUGUUGAAGCUACAACAUACAAGAAAAAAGAAAACAUAGAAAGCAGCAUUACUGAAACACAAUUUUAGGAAACAUUAAUUCUCAGUAUUGUGAACUAACUCCAAGAGGUAUUCCGACGGACAUUACCCCCAUCAUACUUUAGGAUGUGGAGGACCUUUAAUUAAAAACCCCAAGGAAAAAAAUUUAAUUAUUUCCUUUUUGGAAAAAAUCCAUAGUUCUAUCAGCCUCAUUGUUCAAAAAUUCUUUCAUUUCCUCUCUUUCAUGGUGAAAUUCCCUCCUUUGUCUUUGGAAGUGAAUUUGGUUAUUACCUUUUGUAAAUAUUUUAGAUUAUCUGUAGAAAAAGGGAGAACCAUGAAUAGAGUCACAUUCUUGAGCUAUGAUUUGAGAUACUUAUUUGCCCUUAAGAAACAUUAAAUUUCUU